rnacentral:lncRNA from 1 species
CUUAUAAUAUAAAAAAGAAGAUGUGGUAUGAUUGCCAAUGAGACAACUAUCCACAAAAGACCAAAAUGACACAGACAUUAACAACUAUAGGUCACCGUACGGCCUUCAACAAUAAGCAAAGCCCAUACCGCAUAGUCAGCUAUAAAAGGCCCCGAUAAGACAAUGUAAAAAAAUUCAAACGAGAAAACUAACGGCCUUAUUUAUGUAAAGAAAAUGAACGAAAAACAAAUAUGUAACACAUAAACAAACGACAACCACUGAAUUACAGGCUCCUGACUUGGGACAGGCACA